UACGGAGGAUCCAAGCGUUAUCCGGAUUUAUUGGGUUUAAAGGGUGCGUAGGUGGCCUGUUAAGUCAGGGGUGAAAGACGGUAGCUCAACUAUCGCAGUGCCCUUGAUACUGAUGGUCUUGAGUACACUUGAAGUGGGCGGAAUGUGUCAUGUAGCGGUGAAAUGCUUAGAUAUGACACAGAACACCGAUUGCGAAGGCAGCUCACUAAAAUUGUAACUGACGCUGAGACGCGAAAAGCGUGGGGAGCGAACAGG
rnacentral:rRNA from 1 species